rnacentral:rRNA from 1 species
AUUGAACGCUGGCGGCAUGCCUUACACAUGCAAGUCGAACGGCAGCACGGGGCAACCUGGUGGCGAGUGGCGAACGGGUGAGUAAUGCAUCGGAACGUACCUUUCAGUGGGGGAUAACGUAGCGAAAGUUACGCUAAUACCGCAUAUUCUGUGAGCAGGAAAGCAGGGGAUCGCAAGACCUUGCGCUGAUUGAGCGGCCGAUGUCAGAUUAGCUAGUUGGUGAGGUAAAGGCUCACCAAGGCGACGAUCUGUAGCGGGUCGGAGAGGAUGAUCCGCCACACUGGAACUGAGACACGGUCCAGACUCCUACGGGAGGCAGCAGUGGGGAAUUUUGGACAACGGGGGCAAUCCUGAUCCAGCCAUGCCGCGUGAGUGAAGAAGGCCUUCGGGUUGUAAAGCUCUUUCGGCCGGGAAGAAAUCGCACGGGCUAAUACCCUGUGUGGAUGACGGUACCGGAAUAAGAAGCACCGGCUAACUACGUGCCAGCCGCCGCCGUAACAC